CCGGCACGCUGCACCAGUUCCACCAGCUGGACGCCAUCGCCGACCAUUCGGGUUCCCCCGGCCGGGUGUUCGUGGGCUCCGGGUCGCCGGGUUGUCCCGGAGGUGACGGCGGCGACCCCUCGUCGCUCAGCAUCAUCGUGGACCCCUCUCACCUCAGCGCCUCGUGCCCCGCCAUCGACCACCUACAGCUGCCGGCCACUGUCCCCUCCGCUCCCCCGCUCGCGGACCACCACGUGGUCGUCGAUCUAUUCCAGACACGGGCGCGAGUCCCCGCGCUGCUCUCCGCGGCCGUGGUGGCGUCGCGCUCCGUGCCGUCCCUGUUCCCGCCCCCCGGCCUGCCCUGCGGCGGGCGCGGGGCCAUCGCCGCCUCCAGGGGCGGUUUCUUCUCGGCGCUGUCCCCUGGGUCUCUCCUGGGCACGGCCAGCUCCGCGCCGACGUCGCCGGGCACCUCACCGGGGGCGUCGCCGGGAACGUCCCCGGGGGCGGAGCACCGCGGCUGCCACCACCGCACCGCCGCGCUGGACCCGGCGCGGCAGCCGCUCCUGGGACAGCACCUUGCCGCCUGGAGGCUGGCCGAGGAGCCCGAGACGGCGGUGUAACGAGCAGACACCUGUCAUGACCUCCCCCCCCCCCC